GCGUCCUCGCCCCUGCCUCCCCGCCCCCCUUAUUUGUUUAUUUGUAAGACGUGUUAACAAGUCCUCCGCGCUGACGGGUGGGGAAGCGGGGGGGGUCGCGGCGCUCCCGAACUCGCCCGAAGCACUGCGAGGGCGAGGACUUGACUGCGCGGCGCGGCCCCCGAGUGGCCGCCGGGCCGGGGAUGCGCGGCGAGAGAAGGGGCUGUGCGUGGGGGGACACCCCCGCCACCUCCGCCCGGCCUCGCGGGAGCCGCCCCGAGCGGGUCUCGCUCUCCCUGAGGGGCAGUUCCCGAGGGCGGGAGCGCAUCCCCUGCCGGCGGGGAGCGGGGCGCCGGGCGCCGACAGCCGCGCCGUGAGGGGCCGGGGGCCGCAGCAGCGCCCGCCCCCGGAGCGCAAGGGAGGCUCCGGCCGGGGGCGGCGGUGGCGGGGGGACUGAGGCUGGAAAGGUGCGUGCUCGGAUUGCCGGAGGGCCGGUCUCGACCCGUGCGUACGGAAAUGAAGCUACCAUUUGUGACGAGCGUGAGUCUCCUAAUUCCUGGUUAACUUCGUCUUGGUGCCACGUUAAUGCCACCACCCAGCCUUAGCACUGGAGUGAACAUAUAGCCAGACAGGUAACUUCAGCACCACUAAUGGAGACUUAUUAAUAUAAUGUGGAGAAAACUGGGGAGGAGGAAGUGAAAAAAUGAUCAUUACCUUUUAAACUACAAAGAAUGUAUAAGGAAUGCCAGCAGGGAUGGGAAGAAUCUAAUGCCACACAUGGAACCAACCACUGCAUCGAAAACAUUUUAUCAACAUUGAUGUAUUUCUUGUCUAUGUGGAGGUUACAGUAUAAAAAGAAGUUCCUGUGAGAGUAAAUUGGAGAAGACUGUAUGCUGGGAAAGAAGCUCCAUCACAGAAAAGUUGCCUGUGAUUUCUUCCUUUUCUGUAUUGGGCUCUCCUCCUGAAGAAACAAAGAGGUGCCAUGACUCUCUUAAGAAGACACAGACAUGGUACUUACAACAAAGUCUGUGGGAAGAUUCACCAACAUCUGCUGGAGAAAAAAUCUCAGCAAAGAACCAGGCAGCAGGGAAAUGCCUGUCUCUACUUUUGCUGGCCAGAUUGCACAUAAAAUUCACAUAGGCACAGCAUACAGAUAAGGCAAAGGAUGCACAUGUACUCCAGAAGUUGGUUUGUCUAUUGACAUUGCCUCUGUGGCAGUCUCAUCCUGACCGUAUGCCAAAUAGCUCCUGGCAGAUGCUCAGCUCAGUGAGCCUACAUUGCUUAGCAGCUACAGUUUAGCAAUUCCUUGUAAGAGGCAGAGUCAGACUGUGAAGGUAUUGGUUCAGAAGGGAUCUAGCUUCAAAGGCAGAUGAUGAUUCCAUUAAGAAAGAACGCGACAGCUACAGGUUCAAACAAGCAAAGCCAGUCUUGUGCAAACCAUGUUGAUCUUUGGCACAAGAGGCAACUAAUUAGUCCCAAACCAUGAUAUGGCAAUCAAAAAUAUGAUACCAAAGGGAAUUAUAAGGGUUGUCUUUUGGGAGGAGAAGCAAGUUCUCUAAAAAUGCUCAUAUACUCAGCUACACUGUAGGAAUAUUGCAUGUUAUAAAUGGGAUUUGGGAAAGCGAUACAAAGCCAUAUUAUGUGGAGCUCUUGGCUCCAGUUGCUGUAUGUGUAACACAUCGGUUAUAAUAAAUUGUUACUAUAUGGCACAGGAUAACUGUCCUGGU